rnacentral:rRNA from 1 species
GUGGUCCUACGGGAGGCAGCAGUCGAGAAUCAUUCACAAUGGGGGGAACCCUGAUGCAGCGACGCCGCGUGAAGGAAGAAGUAUUUCGGUAUGUAAACUUCUAUCAGCAGGGAAGAAAAUGACGGUACCUGACUAAGAAGCCCCGGCUAACUACGUGCCAGCAGCCGCGGUAAUACGUAGGGGGCAAGCGUUAUCCGGAUUUACUGGGUGUAAAGGGAGCGUAGGCGGCGAUGCAAGUCAGAAGUGAAAGCCCGGGGCUCAACUCCGGGACUGCUUUUGAAACUGUGUUGCUAGAUUGCAGGAGA